rnacentral:rRNA from 1 species
CCAGAGAACUUAGCAGAGAUGCUUUGGUGCCUUCGGGAACUCUGAGACAGGUGCUGCAUGGCUGUCGUCAGCUCGUGUUGUGAAAUGUUGGGUUAAGUCCCGCGACGAGCGCAACCCUUAUCCUUUGUUGCCAGCGGCUCGGCCGGGAACUCAAAGGAGACUGCCGGUGAUAAACCGGAGGAAGGUGGGGAUGACGUCAAGUCAUCAUGGCCCUUACGGCCAGGGCUACACACGUGCUACAAUGGCGCAUACAAAGAGAAGCGACCUCGCGAGAGCAAGCGGACCUCAUAAAGUGCGUCGUAGUCCGGAUUGGAGUCUGCAACUCGACUCCAUGAAGUCGGAAUCGCUAGUAAUCGUAGAUCAGAAUGCUACGGUGAAUACGUUCCCGGGCCUUGUACACACCGCCCGUCACACCAUGGGAGUGGGUUGCAAAAGAAGUAGGUAGCUUAACCUUCGGGAGGGCGCUUACCACUUUGUGAUUCAUGACUGGGGUGAAGUCGUAACAAGGUAAGCGUAGCGAG